rnacentral:tRNA from 1 species
GGAGAGGUGCCCGGAGCGGCUCAACGGGGACCAGAGAGCGAUCUCUCGGUCGGGCCCACAAAGCCCACGCAGGUUCGAAUCCUGCCCUCUCCG